AGAACGAACGCUGGCGGCAUGCCUCAUACAUACAAGUCGAACGCUCUACAGGCUUCGGUCUGUGGGGAGUGGCGCACGGGUGAGUAGCGCGUGGGAACCUGCCCAACAGUGGGGGAUAACCGAUGGAAACGUCGGCUAAUACCGCAUGUGCCCCGGGGCAACUCGGGGGGAAAGAUUUAUCGCUGUUGGAGGGGCCCGCGUCGGAUUAGCUAGUUGGUGGGUAACGCCUACAAGGCUUUGAUCCGUAGCUGGUCUGAGAGGAUGAUCAGCCACACUGGGACUGAGACACGGCCCAGACUCCUACGGGAGGCAGCAGUAGGGAAUAUUGGACAAUGGGGGAAACCCUGAUCCAGCAAUGCCGCGUGAGUGAGGAAGGCCCUAGGUGUAAAGCUCUUUCGCACGCGACGAUGAUGACGGUAGCGUGAGAAGAAGCCCGGCUAACUUCGCGCCAGCAGCCGC
rnacentral:rRNA from 1 species